GAUGAACGCUAGCGAUAGGCUUAACACAUGCAAGUCGAGGGGCAGCAUGGUCUUAGCUUGCUAAGACUGAUGGCGACCGGCGCACGGGUGCGUAACGCGUAUGCAACUUGCCUCACAGAGGGGGAUAACCCGUCGAAAGACGGACUAAUACCGCGUACACUUGGGAUAGGGCAUCCUGACCCAAGGAAAUGAAAUUCGCUGUGAGAUAGGCAUGCGUCCCAUUAGCUAGUUGGUGAGGUAACGGCUCACCAAGGCGACGAUGGGUAGGGGAACUGAGAGGUUGAGCCCCCACACUGGUACUGAGACACGGACCAGACUCCUGCGGGAGGCAGCAGUGAGGAAUAUUAGUCAAUGGGCGAGAGCCUGAACCAGCCAAGUCGCGUGAAGGAUGACUGUCUUAUGGAUUGUAAACUUCUUUUAUACGGGAAUAACAAGAGUCACGUGUGGCUCCCUGCAUGUACCGUAUGAAUAAGCAUCGGCUAACUCCGUG
rnacentral:rRNA from 1 species